GUACACGCUGUGACUAGCAUAUCAAUAAGCGGAGGAAAAGAAACUAACAAGGAUUCCCCUAGUAACGGCGAGUGAAGCGGGAAGAGCUCAAAUUUGAAAUCUUAAAGGGUUUCCCUUUACGAAUUUGUAGUUUAAAGAAGUGUUUUCUGUCGAGGUUUUGGUAAAAGUUCUUUGGAAUAGGACAUCAUAGAGGGUGAGAAUCCCGUAUUUGACCUUUACUUUCAACUUUGUGAUACACUUUCAAAGAGUCGGAUUGUUUGGGAAUGCAGUCCAAAAUGGGUGGUAAAUUUCAUCUAAAGCUAAAUAUCGGCGAGAGACCGAUAGCGAACAAGUACCGUGAGGGAAAGAUGAAAAGAACUUUGAAAAGAGAGUUAAACAGUACGUGAAAUUGUCAAAAGGGAAGCGUUUGACACCAGUGUUGUUUUUCUGAAAAUCAAUUAAAGAACUGUUUAUGCUAAGUUGUUUAGACUUUAUCAGCUAACUGUUUAGUUUUGAGCUUUUCUUUAAUGCACUUUUCAGUUAACAAGUCAACAUCAAUUUCUUUUGCUGUAAAAAAGCUUGAGGAAGGUGGCUUGAGAUUCGUCUUAAGUGUUUAUAGCCUCUUGCCUAUGCAGUCGGAGAGAUUGAGGUCUGCAGCGUAGAUCCUUCGGGGCUAAAUGCAUUUGUGCUAAGUUAUAGCAUUUUAUAGACAACUUGUUGACUAUGAUUUGUCUUGUAGCUUACUCGCUUAUGUUAUUUUACCUACGCUUAGGAUGUUGACAGCAGUAUAGACUGU
rnacentral:rRNA from 1 species